GGGUUGUGAGGUUAAGCGACUAAGCGUACACGGUGGAUGCCCUGGCAGUCAGAGGCGAUGAAGGACGUGCUAAUCUGCGAUAAGCGUCGGUAAGGUGAUAUGAACCGUUAUAACCGGCGAUUUCCGAAUGGGGAAACCCAGUGUGAUUCGUCACACUAUCAUUAACUGAAUCCAUAGGUUAAUGAGGCGAACCGGGGGAACUGAAACAUCUAAGUACCCCGAGGAAAAGAAAUCAACCGAGAUUCCCCCAGUAGCGGCGAGCGAACGGGGAGCAGCCCAGAGCCUGAAUCAGUGUGUGUGUUAGUGGAAGCGUCUGGAAAGGCGUGCGAUACAGGGUGACAGCCCCGUACACAAAAAUGCACAUACUGUGAGCUCGAUGAGUAGGGCGGGACACGUGGUAUCCUGUCUGAAUAUGGGGGGACCAUCCUCCAAGGCUAAAUACUCCUGACUGACCGAUAGUGAACCAGUACCGUGAGGGAAAGGCGAAAAGAACCCCGGCGAGGGGAGUGAAAAAGAACCUGAAACCGUGUACGUACAAGCAGUGGGAGCACGCUUAGGCGUGUGACUGCGUACCUUUUGUAUAAUGGGUCAGCGACUUAUAUUCUGUAGCAAGGUUAACCGAAUAGGGGAGCCGAAGGGAAACCGAGUCUUAACUGGGCGUUAAGUUGCAGGGUAUAGACCCGAAACCCGGUGAUCUAGCCAUGGGCAGGUUGAAGGUUGGGUAACACUAACUGGAGGACCGAACCGACUAAUGUUGAAAAAUUAGCGGAUGACUUGUGGCUGGGGGUGAAAGGCCAAUCAAACCGGGAGAUAGCUGGUUCUCCCCGAAAGCUAUUUAGGUAGCGCCUCGUGAAUUCAUCUCCGGGGGUAGAGCACUGUUUCGGCAAGGGGGUCAUCCCGACUUACCAACCCGAUGCAAACUGCGAAUACCGGAGAAUGUUAUCACGGGAGACACACGGCGGGUGCUAACGUCCGUCGUGAAGAGGGAAACAACCCAGACCGCCAGCUAAGGUCCCAAAGUCAUGGUUAAGUGGGAAACGAUGUGGGAAGGCCCAGACAGCCAGGAUGUUGGCUUAGAAGCAGCCAUCAUUUAAAGAAAGCGUAAUAGCUCACUGGUCGAGUCGGCCUGCGCGGAAGAUGUAACGGGGCUAAACCAUGCACCGAAGCUGCGGCAGCGACGCUUAUGCGUUGUUGGGUAGGGGAGCGUUCUGUAAGCCUGUGAAGGUGUACUGUGAGGUAUGCUGGAGGUAUCAGAAGUGCGAAUGCUGACAUAAGUAACGAUAAAGCGGGUGAAAAGCCCGCUCGCCGGAAGACCAAGGGUUCCUGUCCAACGUUAAUCGGGGCAGGGUGAGUCGACCCCUAAGGCGAGGCCGAAAGGCGUAGUCGAUGGGAAACAGGUUAAUAUUCCUGUACUUGGUGUUACUGCGAAGGGGGGACGGAGAAGGCUAUGUUGGCCGGGCGACGGUUGUCCCGGUUUAAGCGUGUAGGCUGGUUUUCCAGGCAAAUCCGGAAAAUCAAGGCCGAGGCGUGAUGACGAGGCACUACGGUGCUGAAGCAACAAAUGCCCUGCUUCCAGGAAAAGCCUCUAAGCAUCAGGUAACAUCAAAUCGUACCCCAAACCGACACAGGUGGUCAGGUAGAGAAUACCAAGGCGCUUGAGAGAACUCGGGUGAAGGAACUAGGCAAAAUGGUGCCGUAACUUCGGGAGAAGGCACGCUGAUACGUAGGUGAAGCGACUUGCUCGUGGAGCUGAAAUCAGUCGAAGAUACCAGCUGGCUGCAACUGUUUAUUAAAAACACAGCACUGUGCAAACACGAAAGUGGACGUAUACGGUGUGACGCCUGCCCGGUGCCGGAAGGUUAAUUGAUGGGGUUAGCGCAAGCGAAGCUCUUGAUCGAAGCCCCGGUAAACGGCGGCCGUAACUAUAACGGUCCUAAGGUAGCGAAAUUCCUUGUCGGGUAAGUUCCGACCUGCACGAAUGGCGUAAUGAUGGCCAGGCUGUCUCCACCCGAGACUCAGUGAAAUUGAACUCGCUGUGAAGAUGCAGUGUACCCGCGGCAAGACGGAAAGACCCCGUGAACCUUUACUAUAGCUUGACACUGAACAUUGAGCCUUGAUGUGUAGGAUAGGUGGGAGGCUUUGAAGUGUGGACGCCAGUCUGCAUGGAGCCGACCUUGAAAUACCACCCUUUAAUGUUUGAUGUUCUAACGUGGACCCGUAAUCCGGGUUGCGGACAGUGUCUGGUGGGUAGUUUGACUGGGGCGGUCUCCUCCUAAAGAGUAACGGAGGAGCACGAAGGUUGGCUAAUCCUGGUCGGACAUCAGGAGGUUAGUGCAAUGGCAUAAGCCAGCUUGACUGCGAGCGUGACGGCGCGAGCAGGUGCGAAAGCAGGUCAUAGUGAUCCGGUGGUUCUGAAUGGAAGGGCCAUCGCUCAACGGAUAAAAGGUACUCCGGGGAUAACAGGCUGAUACCGCCCAAGAGUUCAUAUCGACGGCGGUGUUUGGCACCUCGAUGUCGGCUCAUCACAUCCUGGGGCUGAAGUAGGUCCCAAGGGUAUGGCUGUUCGCCAUUUAAAGUGGUACGCGAGCUGGGUUUAGAACGUCGUGAGACAGUUCGGUCCCUAUCUGCCGUGGGCGCUGGAGAACUGAGGGGGGCUGCUCCUAGUACGAGAGGACCGGAGUGGACGCAUCACUGGUGUUCGGGUUGUCAUGCCAAUGGCACUGCCCGGUAGCUAAAUGCGGAAGAGAUAAGUGCUGAAAGCAUCUAAGCACGAAACUUGCCCCGAGAUGAGUUCUCCCUGACCCUUUAA
rnacentral:rRNA from 1 species